ACCUGCCUUCGAGCGGGGGAUAACGUCCCAAAGGGGACGCUAAUACCGCAUGACAUCCUGCCUUUGAACAGGCGGAGAUCAAAGCUGGGGAUCGCAAGACCUGGCACUUGAAGAGGGGCCCGCGCCUGAUUAGCUAGUUGGUGAGGUAACGGCUCACCAAGGCGACGAUCAGUAUCCGGCCUGAGAGGGCGGACGGACACACUGGGACUGAGACACGGCCCAG
rnacentral:rRNA from 1 species